rnacentral:rRNA from 1 species
AUUGAACGCUGGCGGCAGGCCUAACACAUGCAAGUCGAGCGAGCGGCGGACGGGUGAGUAAUUUAUGGGGAUCUGCCCGAUAGCGGGGGCUAACUACUGGAAACGGUGGCUAAUACCGCAUACUAUCGGCUGAACCCAUAUGGGAUUAGCUAGUAGGUGGGGUAAAGGCGCACCUAGGCGACGAUAUAUAGCUGGUAUGAGAGGAUGAUCAGCCACACUGGGACUGAGACACGGCCCAGACUCCUACGGGAGGCAGCAGUGGGGAAUAUUGCACAAUGGGCGAAAGCCUGAUGCAGCCAUGCCGCGUGUAUGAAGAAGGCCUUAGGGUUGUAAAGUACUUUCAGCGGGGAGGCGUUACCCGCAGAAGAAGCACCGGCUAACUCCGUGCCAGCAGCCGCGGUAAUUC